UUAAAGGUAAGAAAACUGAAGUUCAGAAAAGGGAGGGGACUGACUCAAUCCCAGCUGCUGGCAGAUCUGGGACUGCAAACCAGCCUUCCAUUGCUCCACACAGGUGUCUCUUCUCACGUGGAAUCACAGCAUUGGAUGGACUGAAAAGAGGAAGAGGCUGCAAUGGAGCAGCACACCUGGUGCGUGGGGAUGCCUGGAAAACAAAAUUAGGAGAGCCCUGGGUCAGCAUUGCUCUGGCACUGGCUGGGCCGGGGGCCAUCCUGAUUCUAGAAUUAUCUUGGUUCCUGGGAUAGAAAUGUCCCCAGAGUGGAGAAGUUCAGUUCAAUCCAACAUCCUUAUAUUGCAAUGAGGAUAAAGACCACAGACCCUAUGGCCUGUAUGACCCAGCUGCCCAUUUCUAGGAACCCAUUCCUACAGAAAUGACAACAUGCGUGUGCAAACAGCAACAAUGACAAACAUACCCUGGGAUGCUUUCCCUCUGUGGUUUGUUAUAGUAAGAUAGCGGCUACAGCUUAUAUAUCAUCAACAGAGGACUGGCUAAAUGAUGGCACUUCAUUCUGCAGAAUCUUUUUUUGUAGUCAAAAAGAACAAGUUAGAUCUAUAUGUGUGAACAUGGAAAGGUGUACAUGACUUAAGUAGAAAAAUUAAGUUGCAGAACGA